rnacentral:rRNA from 1 species
AAUCAACGCUGGCGGCGUGCCUAACACAUGCAAGUCGAACGAGAAAGUGUAGCAAUACAUGAGUACAGUGGCGACCGGGUGAGUAACACGUGACUAACCUGCCUUCUUGUGGGGAAUAACCUUCCGAAAGGAGGGCUAAUACCGCAUAACAUCGCGAGGUGAGAUUCCUUGUGAUCAAAGGAGCAAUCCGCAGGAAGAGGGGGUCGCGGCUGAUUAGCUAGUUGGUGAGGUAACGGCUCACCAAGGCAGUGAUCAGUAUCCGGCCUGAGAGGGCGCACGGACACACUGGAACUGAAACACGGUCCAGACUCCUACGGGAGGCAGCAGUGGGGAAUUUUGCGCAAUGGGGGAAACCCUGACGCAGCAACGCCGCGUGGAGGAUGAAGGUCUUUGGAUUGUAAACUCCUUUCGAUCGGGACGAUGAUGACGGUACCGGAAGAAGAAGCACCGGCCAACUCUGUGCCAGCCGCCGCGGUAAUAC